AAGUCUGGUGCCAGCAGCCGCGGUAAUUCCAGCUCCAAUAGCGUGUAUUAAAGUUGUUGCAGUUAAAAAGCUCGUAGUUGAAUUUCGGGGUUAGUAGGUUGGUCAUGCCUCUGGUAUGUACUGGUCUCACUGAUUCCUCCUUCCUUAUGAACCGUAAUGCCAUUAAUUUGGUGUUGCGGGGAAUUUGGACUGUUACUUUGAAAAAAUUAGAGUGUUUAAAGCAAGCUAACGCUUGAAUACAUUAGCAUGGAAUAAUGAAAUAGGACGUUCGAUCUUAUUUUGUUGGUUUCUAGGAUUGACGUAAUGAUUAAUAGGGAUAGUUGGGGGCAUUAGUAUUCAAUUGUCAGAGGUGAAAUUCUUGGAUUUAUUGAAGACUAACUACUGCGAAAGCAUUUGCCAAGGAUGUUUUCAUUAAUCAAGAACGAAAGUUGGGGGAUCGAAGACGAUCAGAUACCGUCGUAGUCUUAACCAUAAACUAUGCCGACUAGGGAUCGGAUGAUGUUAAUUUUUUAAUGACUCAUUCGGCGCCUUACGGGAAACCAAAGUGUUUGGGU
rnacentral:rRNA from 1 species